AGAGGUCAUUUAGGAGGGAUACUAACUGAAGGAAAUGAUAAGGGAUUCAUAGAAAUGCAACCAAGUUUAUAUAAUGUUGUGCCUGAAGAUGAUACUUAUAAGGGAAAGAUCAAAAUUGGCUUUAAAUUCACAGCAAAUGUAGAAGUGCAAAAGGAUUGCGUGUCACUACUUCCAUGGUCCAAACUCACCUUCCAACUCAAAAUGUUUAAAGUAAUGCAAUUGGGCUUGGGAUCUUUUUGAACAUUAGAUAUUUUUCAUGAACAGUAAUGCCAUAGAUGAAGUUGAUUAGUUUUAUAUCAGAUGAACUUAAAAUGAUUUAUCUAUUCAUUUCUGUGAAAUGAGAAGUUACAAAGUGUUUUAGUUGAAAACAAACUUCUAAUAUGAUCAUUGAACAUUUUUCCAAGGAUCGUCAUUGUACUUGUUGUGAAAGCUUUACUUCUUUUUAUAAGUUCUAGUAUUUGGGUUCACAGUUCAUUAUAUCACCACAUGCCUUCACAAG